UACAGGGGGUGCAAGCGUUAUUCGGAAUUACUGGGCGUAAAGCGCAUGUAGGCGGCUAGGUAAGUCUGGUGUGAAAUCCCGAAGCUUAACUUCGGAAGUGCAUUGGAUACUGCCUGGCUAGAGGAUGGGAGAGGAGAGCGGAAUUCCUGGUGUAGGGGUGAAAUCCGUAGAUAUCAGGAGGAACACCGGUGGCGAAGGCGGGUCUCUGGGCCGUUACUGACGCUGAGGAGCGAAAGCAUGGGGAGCGAACAGG
rnacentral:rRNA from 1 species